rnacentral:rRNA from 1 species
CAAGUCGAACGGUGAAGGUGGAGCUUGCUCCGCCGGAUCAGUGGCGAACGGGUGAGUAACACGUGGGCAAUCUGCCCCUAACUCUGGGAUAACUACUCGAAAGAGUAGCUAAUACCGGAUACGAAGACUGAGGACAUCCUCGGUUUUGGAAAGUUUUUCGGUCAGGGAUGGGCCCGCGGCCUAUCAGCUAGUUGGUGAGGUAGUGGCUCACCAAGGCGACGACGGGUAGCCGGCCUGAGAGGGCGACCCGGCCACACUGGGACUGAGACACGGCCCAGACUCC